rnacentral:tmRNA from 1 species
GGGGGCGAAUUGGAUUCGACCGGACGGAUGAGGUGUCGGUGGCGUGCCCAGGUUCCAAGGAGGCCUGGCUAAACACCUUGGGCUAACUGUUACAUGCCAAUCAACCGAUGGCAAUGGCCGCUUAAUUAAGCGACCCGUCCCCGGGACCUGGCCCACGAGGACCCGACGGACGCAACUAGUGGGCUUACCGGCCGGGAGUCGCCCGGUUACCCGGUCGGGACAUUCAGGCGGGCUGGCUGCGUCAAACCGCGUCGGACUCGGGUUGCCGUGGCGACAUCAAUAAGCCGACUACGCACGUAGAAGCCGCCAUUGAAACGUCACGGGACGCGGGUUCGAUUCCCGCCGCCUCCA